rnacentral:rRNA from 1 species
UCAUCUUCGGGGGUAGAGCACUGUUUCGGCUAGGGGGUCAUCCCGACUUACCAACCCGAUGCAAACUACGAAUACCGAAGAAUGUUAUCACGGGAGACACACGGCGGGUGCUAACGUCCGUCGUGAAGAGGGAAACAACCCAGACCGCCAGCUAAGGUCCCAAAGUCAUGGUUAAGUGGGAAACGAUGUGGGAAGGCACAGACAGCCAGGAUGUUGGCUUAGAAGCAGCCAUCAUUUAAAGAAAGCGUAAUAGCUCACUGGUCGAGUCGGCCUGCGCGGAAGAUGUAACGGGGCUAAACCAUGCACCGAAGCUGCGGCAGCGACACUAUGUGUUGUUGGGUAGGGGAGCGUUCUGUAAGCCUGCGAAGGUGUGCUGUGAGGCAUGCUGGAGGUAUCAGAAGUGCGAAUGCUGACAUAAGUAACGAUAAAGCGGGUGAAAAGCCCGCUCGCCGGAAGACCAAGGGUUCCUGUCCAACGUUAAUCGGGGCAGGGUGAGUCGACCCCUAAGGCGAGGCCGAAAGGCGUAGUCGAUGGGAAACAGGUUAAUAUUCCUGUACUUGGUGUUACUGCGAAGGGGGGACGGAGAAGGCUAUGUUAGCCGGGCGACGGUUGUCCCGGUUUAAGCAUGUAGGCUGGUUAUCCAGGCAAAUCCGGAUAAUCAAGGCUGAGGUGUGAUGACGAGGCACUACGGUGCUGAAGUAACAAAUGCCCUGCUUCCAGGAAAAGCCUCUAAGCAUCAGGUAACAUCAAAUCGUACCCCAAACCGACACAGGUGGUCAGGUAGAGAAUACCAAGGCGCUUGAGAGAACUCGGGUGAAGGAACUAGGCAAAAUGGUGCCGUAACUUCGGGAGAAGGCACGCUGGUGUGUAGGUGAAGUCCCUGCGGAUGGAGCUGAGACCAGUCGAAGAUACCAGCUGGCUGCAACUGUUUAUUAAAAACACAGCACUGUGCAAACACGAAAGUGGACGUAUACGGUGUGACGCCUGCCCGGUGCCGGAAGGUUAAUUGAUGGGGUUAUCCGUAAGGAGAAGCUCUUGAUCGAAGCCCCGGUAAACGGCGGCCGUAACUAUAACGGUCCUAAGGUAGCGAAAUUCCUUGUCGGGUAAGUUCCGACCUGCACGAAUGGCGUAAUGAUGGCCAGGCUGUCUCCACCCGAGACUCAGUGAAAUUGAACUCGCUGUGAAGAUGCAGUGUACCCGCGGCAAGACGGAAAGACCCCGUGAACCUUUACUAUAGCUUGACACUGAACAUUGAGCCUUGAUGUGUAGGAUAGGUGGGAGGCUUUGAAGCGUGGACGCCAGUCUGCGUGGAGCCAACCUUGAAAUACCACCCUUUAAUGUUUGAUGUUCUAACGUUGGCCCCU